rnacentral:misc_RNA from 1 species
GUUUUCACUGAUCAGAAGAAGAAAAGGCUUAUUAAGUUUGUGUACAAAAAAGAAAAAAGCCUCACUAAGAAUAUACUAAGCAUGAAAAUAUUAAACGAUUGGGUUUGGAAGAUUAAUGCAUCAGCUGAAACUACCUUCAAAAUGGUUUAAAAAAGAAACUACUACCUUUAACAGCCAUGAACUCAAUGAACAGCAAACAUAGAUAAUGUA